AUAACGUUGUGUUGUUUGGCGUUGUCUGCCGUAGGACUUUGUUGACGGGCUAUACGAGCGCCUGGUAAACAUCUCGGAGGUGGAGCUUCCCCGUCAGGAUAAAAUCAGCUUCAAAGUACUCCGCUACACACAAGAAGCCUUUCGAGACGGGUAUCAGUGGCGAUUUUACGUCAACUUGAACCCCGUAAACUUCCUUGAGGGAGUUCAGAAGGAUGUGACCCGGAUGACAAGCACCCCAAUGAACACAAGGGAAGAUGUGGAGAACUACCUUCACAGAUUGACCUUGCUGCCACAACAGAUAUCUGAGAUAAAAGAGAGUUUCCAGCAAGCCGUGCAAAAUGGAACAAAGUACCACAAUGCAUCCAUGGUACG